rnacentral:rRNA from 1 species
UACGUAGGGUGCGAGCGUUAAUCGGAAUUACUGGGCGUAAAGCGUGCGCAGGCGGUUCGUUGUGUCUGUGGUGAAAGCCCCGGGCUUAACCUGGGAAUGGCCAUGGAAACUGGCGAGCUGGAGUGUGGCAGAGGGGGGUGGAAUUCCGCGUGUAGCAGUGAAAUGCGUAGAUAUGCGGAGGAACACCGAUGGCGAAGGCAAUCCCCUGGGCCUGCACUGACGCUCAUGCACGAAAGCGUGGGGAGCAAACAGG